rnacentral:rRNA from 1 species
UACGUAGGGGGCGAGCGUUGUCCGGAAUCAUUGGGCGUAAAGCGCGUGUAGGCGGCCCGGUAAGUCCGCUGUGAAAGUCCAGGGCUCAACCCUGGGAUGCCGGUGGAUACUGUCGGGCUCGAGUCCGGAAGAGGCGAGUGGAAUUCCUGGUGUAGCGGUGAAAUGCGUAGAUAUUGGGAGGAACACCAGUGGCGAAGGCGGCUCACUGGACCGGUACUGACGCUGAGGCGCGAAAGCGUGGGGAGCAAACAGG